UACGUAGGGGGCAAGCGUUGUCCGGAAUUAUUGGGCGUAAAGAGCUCGUAGGCGGUCUGUUGCGUCCGCUGUGAAAACUCGGGGCUUAACCCCGAGCCUGCAGUGGAUACGGGCAGACUAGAGGUAGGUAGGGGGAGAAUGGAAUUCCCGGUGUAGCGGUGAAAUGCGCAGAUAUCAGGAGGAACACCGGGUGGCGAAGGCGGUUCUCUGGGCAUUAACUGACGCUGAGGAGCGAAAGCUGGGGAGCGAACAGG
rnacentral:rRNA from 1 species